rnacentral:tRNA from 1 species
CGGGUCGUAGCGCAGUUUGGUAGCGCGCUCGCUUCGGGAGCGAGAGGACGCCGGUUCAAAUCCGGCCGAUCCGAC